CGUAGCGCAGAGGUUAGCAUGUCGGCCUUUGACGCUGAAAGUCUGGGUUCGAAUCCUGGCG
rfam:Stomoxys calcitrans breed 8C7A2A5H3J4 unplaced genomic scaffold Scaffold378, whole genome shotgun sequence.